UACAACAACAAUACUGUGAAUGCUUUUACAAGCAUUCACACUAAUUAUAACUAUUGCUGGUAUUAUUCUUAAUGUGGUUAUAAACUUGUUAUGAUGUUGUUGUUGUGUUUGCAGGUGUUUGGUGAAUCAGGAGGGGUGGACAAAGCCAAACUGGAUGAAAUAUUCAGGAUUAACAGCCAGGUGUCAUGUGAACAGGUGAGCUUCAUCUCAUCAACGCAGUGUGCUGCAGACCUGAUCCAGGAACAUGUGCGGGAUGGAGACACUGAGGGAACGCUCGUCCAGGUUGUAGGCGGAGCCUCACAGUGAUACGAGAUGAGAUCCUCCUUCAUCUUCCUGUCAGUAAACUUGACUCUUCUUCUGUAAAGACUCAGAUCAAAGUAAAAAACAAAUGUAAUGUGUGGUAAUGUUUUUUCCUCAUCUCUUUCAAGACGCCGUCUGUUUUUUUUAUUAAAUCAGUGUGUAACAACAAUGUAUUUUUCUCUGGUCCCCUCCCCAAUCAGACCAGCAGUGACAUAUUUAGACACAUGUUCUCCUUAAAUUGCUGGCUGUCUGCGUGGUGUCCAAAAAAUGAUGUGGGCUUCAGAUAAGCUGUCCUUCUGCCUCAUGUCUCUAAUACUGUCGGCUCUGGGUGAAGCUUUUUCAGACAACUGUUGUUGUGACGCGGAUCAAUAUAAAUAAAGCUGAACUGAACUCUGCAUCACUUUUUCUUUUUUAAAACAGUAAAUGUUCUCGUUGGCUGUUUUUCUUCUUCUUUUCUGACUAGCUAGUCUCACACAUUUUUGUAGGUUGUUAGGAAUAAAAUGGUUAAAUAAAGCUGUUUUUGUGUGAGUUCUAUAAACAUUGGAAUUGUAGUUGUUAAGAGUUGGCACUGUGUAAUGAGGGUCAAAAGUCCAUUCAGAGCUAUGAUUAAACUGAAUUAUUGAGACUGACAUGUUGAGCUGCAGAGGGAUUUGCACACAUCAUAACUGGUUAGAGUCAGGGGGAUAUUUUUCUGGGCCAGAACGUCCCGGACUUGGAAAAUAAGUAGAAACAACAGGCUGGAUGACAGGGAGCGAGGUGUUUUCCUUUCUUUUUCCAGGAAAAGGAGCAGCUGCAGACGAGAUCAGUGGUGGAUGAAGUGCAGGAGAAGAUCCAAUCAGCUGACUGCAGGACCAGCUGCGUCAUUCCCAAGAGGAGACAGUCAUAAUAAUACUUGUUUUUGUUUUGGUAUAAAACUGUAUUGCCUGCUCACAGGGUCAUCCUUUGUGUGAAGCAGACAGCUGGUUCACAUCGAGGUCCAGCGUGUCUUAACUUGUAAUUUCAACUGCUGAAAUGAAUUCAAUCUUUUAAAAGACAGUCACUCUCCGGGAUUCCUUAAGCAAAGACAACGACCGUUCAUGUUUGUGUGCUGCAUGCUUCUACUUUCCAAAACACUAUUUCUGGUGGUAAACUUCCACUAGCUUGGCUUCUCUCAUCUCUUCCUGUCCCGCCCCUGACCUUACCUUGUGUUCAAGGUCAUGACUUCGAGUACAACAUGGGACAUUUUUCAUGACAACAUUUUUUGGCUGCCAUCUCAGGCGCAGUACAUUUGUGGCGUAUUAAAGUAGCUGCCCGUAUGUUUAUGAGCAGUCUCCCUUCAACUUUGUUAUCCAGCGUCUGUAGAAACAGGAAUUCCAGGUCUCGUAAGGUCGUUUUGUUGUACCAGAAGUCUUGUGAUUUGUCAGGUGCAGCUUUGCAAACCUAAGUCGUGUUCUUUAAGAGAGAAGAUACCAAACUUGUUCAGUCUUUUUCUAAUCGUGCCGUCAUGAACUUUCACAUUUAACACUUGCUGCACUUUCUCUGAAUAAGCUGACUGUCCAAUACUCACAGAAUACUUAUUAUAGUACAUGGCAGCUGCCAUAACAGGAAGUCCAGAAUAAAUCUACUAAGCUUUAGUUUGAACCUUAGUUUAAACAAACCUGAGCAGCUGCUCUCCAUGUGUUUCCCACUCUGACACUUUCAGCAGUCAGCCGAGGCUUGGAGCCCACAGAGCGGGGCAGGCAGUUCAGAUAAAAUCCAAAGCAUGUGUUUUCAUAUGCAUGUGUUUAUUGUGAGUUAGACUCAUGUUUACAAACAUUUUUUAAAAAUACAUGUAAAUGUAGAAAAAUACAAAUGCUUAUUAUUAGUAUAUUAGAAUAUUUUAUAUGCGUGAGUACCUUUAUUAACAUUAUUAUAUAACAUGAUGGUUCAAAACAGACACAAAAAAGCAACAGUUACAUGAAGAAUAACCAAUCAAUCGAAUAAUCAUGCAGUCUGCAAUGUAGGUGUUAUUCAUAUAAUCGGAUUGGAUACUUCCUGAAGGUGAGUUGUGUUAGUAGACUACGUGAUGACAUACCACAUGAGCACACUGGGACCAGAAAAGUACACUGCCAUAUGUUCUGUUACUGAGGAGCGAUUGAAGGACAAACACAAUAAAAUUCUGAGAAAGAAAUUAAACAGUUGAACGUUUUGAGAAACACAUUAGUUGAACUAAAGUCCAUUUGGAAAUGCCCACAGGCAGUUAUUUUGAAGUUUUAACUUAAACAACUUAAAAUCCUAAAGUCAUCGAGUCAGAAAACGUGAAAGAAAGAUCAUACGUGUGUGCUAAUCAACAGGAUAGACUCAGGUAGCCUCAGGUGCCUCAGGUGUAUAUUGUUAACUGGUGACUAUGUGAUGAUGCAUUUUAUGCAGCGGCAUUUUGAACCAGCUGCAGACGUGAAAGCAACAACUGCCUGACCCUCACAUAAAGGGAGUUACAGUCGUAAAGACAGGAUAAAAUAAAAGCAUGGAUCAGUGUGCUGCCCAGAAAGAAAAGAUUUCACUGCUGCCAGUCACCUUACAUGAUAAAAAAUGGACUUCACUGCUCUAAUUUGGCUGUCAGUAAUAACAGGUUUAAAAUAUUAUUAUUUAAAAUAAUAAUAAUACAUUUAAGGCCAACCAGGUUUUACUGUUAUCUAGAAAUGCCAAGAGAGGUUUUAUGAAGAGGGCAUCCUUCUGCUUUAGUGGCAAAUAAAUUUGGCAGUCAUCAGCGUAACAAUGAAAAGAGAUCCCAUGCCUUCUAAGGAUGGAUACUGUUUUCAUCUAGAAAAUACUUCAGUUGACAAAAAACAAAUUUUUAAAGGCAGCUUGGAAAUAGGCCUAUAAUUUGCUAAUACUGUGUGAUCAAGGCCAGGUUUCUUAAGCAGUGGCUGCACUACUGCAUGUUUGAAAUUUGCAGGAACCACACCAGAAAACAGGCUGCUGUUAAUAAUGUCAAGGACAGACUGCCCUAUACUAGGAAAAAUGUCUUUGUGGAGGGAGAGGAUCCCGAGGGCAACCUGCGGGCUUAAUAUGGCGAACCACAUCCUCUAAAGUGGAGAGCGUCACAAGUUCAAACUGAGUAAAAACAGCAGUGCAAGGGACAGAGGCAGAGGGGUCAGACUCAGGAAUGUGAUAAGAGCCCUGGUGGUGACAACCUUUUCAAUAAAAAAGUUCAGAAAAUUAUUGCAAAUAUCAGGAGAAACUUCCAAACAGACAUUAAGAACAGAGUUAAUGGCAUAAAAUAACACACGUGGGUUAUGACUGUUGGAAGAAAUAAUAUUUGAAAAAUAUUUCCUUUUUGCCUCUUUAACAGUGUUCUGGUAGCGAUGCCAGCAGUCUUUUAGAAUUUGAAAUGAUACAUGCGGUUUAUCCUCUUUCCAUCUCCGUUCUGCUUGACGACAUUCCCUCUUAACAGCACGACUGCUCUCAUUAAACCAAGGCUCAGGUUUAGUCUUGGGCUGCCUGGGUUUUAAAGGAGCCACAGAGUCCAUGAUUUUUUGACAGCAAGAAUAAAACCAGGAAUUAAGCUCCUCUGUGUCAGAGGAAACAAAGUCAGAAGGGCCAAGGGCGCAGAUUUGGUUUUGGCAUUGGUGGGGAUGGAUGAUUCAACCACUGAACCCUGCCCUGUUUUUUUUUGUUUUGUUUUUUUGUCUUAGCUACUUAAUAAAAAGAGGAGAAAUAUACUUGCCUACAUAUCCUAUUCUACAUGCUUUUAAACCAUUUAAAAUCACAAUUCAUAGUUCAGUGAUUCCUGAUAUUAAGGACAAAACUGAUUUUAAUUUUCUAAAAUAUAUUUUAACAUAUUUACAUAUAAUUGUUACACAAAGUUUUGGCUGUCUCACCAUGUUUUGGUACAAUCUCCCAGGUGUAACAUUUUUUAAUAAUUUAUGUUUUUGCUGGAGAAGUGCAAGGUUUUUGUCAACACCGUCAGACACAAAGAAAUGCAAAAAUAUAUAUUUUAAAUUGAGUUGUUUCAGCUAUUUUGACUAUUAGCAGCUUCUCUGUUCUACUGUUUAUGCACAUAUGUUUUCAAAUGAAUUAUACCAUGUUUUAAAGUAAGAUUGUUUGGCUUUUAUUAGAGUUACAGUCAUACAUAUUUUCAGAAGCUUGUAUUUAAUCUCUAUAAGAAACAAUUAUAUUUAGCAGCAUGCAAAUUACACAUUUAUUGAGAAAAUUGCGUAUUUUUAUUGGAAGAACUAUUAGGAAUUGGUGGGGUUCCUCUGGUGUGGUGUCACGGGGUCUGCUUCUGUUUUCAGCACAGGUAGGCGGGGUGGUGUGUCACGGGAUGCUGACACACCGGCGGUACAUCAGACGUCAUUUGAUGGAGCGUUAUUUAGGAGCAGCGCGACAGACGUCUGGUGUCGGAGUAUUGCCACCUCCCCGAGUGCUGGAUCUACCACCCGCUUACCUGUCAGCUGUUUGUGAAGCCGCAUUUCCGGGAUUUCUAUGGAGAGAGAUCUCAGCAUUUCUUCUACUUCCCGGGAAUCCUCGCCCGAGUCUGUACCGCCAGUGUGACAAAUCCACCCUGUGUGUGCGGGUUACCCCUUUCCCUCAGAAUGCGUGUCAGCUCCCUUCUCUGGUUUCCCUCCGUUUAUUUGUCGGUGUACAUAUUCCAUCCCGUGUAAAUAAGUUGGACACUGUAAAUAAAAAGCACUUCCUGCA